rnacentral:misc_RNA from 1 species
AAGUCGUAACAAGGUUUCCGUAGGUGAACCUGCGGAAGGAUCAUUAACACGUAUCCACGUUUUAUUAACCAACCGUGAACUUGUUUUCAACCCAUUUCUCCCUUAGUGAAUUUAUUUACUAAGGCAAAAAAUAAAUAUUUAUUUAUUUAUUUUAUUAUUAACCAAUUUAACCACCCUUUUUGCUAGUUGACUUUUUUAUAUGUUGUGCUUAAUUAAUACUUAAUUAAUUUUAAUUAACUAAUUAUUUAUUUAUUUAAUCUCACACGUUUAUUUACUUGAACGUUAAAAUCAUACAACUCUUAGCAAUGGAUAUCUAGGUUCUC